UUCAUAUCCAUACCAUGAAUUCAACUCAAUCACAAUUACAUAGUGAUAUAUGAGUCAUUUUCUUUUUCUAUUUUGUUUAUAUGUGCAUACAUACACAGACUGAGAUGUUGUUUCGUAAAAGCUAAUGUACUAAAUGGAAAAUGGAGUUGUUUAUUCAUGUAUGAUAUGAAUCUUGACAUAGACUUAAUUUCUUAUACUGAUUCAGGGUUAAUGGCUUGCUAGACAAAGAAAGUCGUGUUAGGGAACUACUUAUGGGAAAAGAUGACGAGACAAAAAAAGGGUAGAGGUAAUUAUGAGGCUCUCGGGCCAUGUUAAGUUAAUGGUCGUACAUAAACCACUGAGAAAAGGAAGAAUAAAGUACCUCAACUAAAAAGCUCUUUGGGAUGUUAUAAAAACAAAGAAAAGGAGGAACAGAGGAAAGAAAAAUGUUGAUCCCAAUACUUGCAUUCCUUCAACAAAGAAGAUUGAAUUACUCAAGUUUUGGGGUAGAUCUUUUGACUGCCGAUGUCUUUGUGUGAUAUAAUCAUUUAAGAACUUACAAUAGAAUGAUGAGUAUGCUACAACCACUAAGAGAAAAGCCACGAUAGAGAAAUGUAUAUCCAAGAGACUUAUGAUAAGAGCAGUCUCAGUUGACGUCAAUGGAUCAUGUGAGAGGGGUAAAUGUUGCAAACUUAGCUGCUAUGGAGCAAAGUCGUAUGCUUGCUAAUACAUUAGCUCAGAACAAUGAUCCUAAAUUUCAGGUUUGCAAGCUAUGUUGUGCUGCAACUCUAUGAUUCUCUUGUUUUCAACAUGAAGAUAUUCUUCUGCAUGUGUUUAUUGCUUCUAACUGUCAUAUAUAUUUUUUCCAUGUCUUUUUGAGUGUGUGUGAUGAUACAAGUAUUGUGAUCGAU